AUGGAUAACAACCUCUGCCCUGUGAUGAGUUGGAACGUGCGUGGCAUGAACACGUCAGCGAGGCGCGAGGCGAUCAAGGAAAUGGCCUCGGCGCAUCGAGUCGCGAUUAUUUGUCUCCAGGAGACCAAGAUCGAGCUGUGGAAUCAAAACCUAGUCUAAGAUGUUGGGGGCACCCAGCUCCAGGACUGUGUAGUCCUCCCGGCGAUCGGCACCAGGGGAGCGGCAAUCUUCUGGGAUAGUAACCUGGUAUCUGUAGUAUCCAUCGCCAUUGGCCAAUUCGCGAUCACAGCCAAAGUUACUCUGCUUCGAUCGGCAACCUCUUUCUGGAUAACCACG
rnacentral:rRNA from 1 species